GAGCACUACUCUACUCCAUCAGCGGCACCGCACCGCCUCCGGCACAACACAAGAGACAACGUUGGUGAUCGAGAGCACAACAAUUACUGUCAAAUUUGGCACGUAUACGAUUGGCGUGAAAAUGAAGUAGACUUUUUCUUUUGCGGGUAGGUAGAAAUGAACAGGUUCGACCCUUCUUUUAAACUUUAGCACAAAAUGAACCGGAUCUGUAUUUUUCACUUGUGUGAAGCCGCGUCGCAUCAAUCUAUAACCUGGUGGAUUUUAUUUUA
rnacentral:lncRNA from 1 species